CAUAAGAGUGUGUGCCUGCUGUAAAUAUGGACAAAGAGCAAUCUGUAGGCUUUAGGUGGGCAUCUGAUGAGUGUAGGGGUGCCCAUAAAGGACCUACAUAUAAUU